UGGUGACUAUAGCAAGGAGGUCACACCUGUUCCCAUGCCGAACACAGAAGUUAAGCUCCUUAGCGUCGAUGGUAGUCGAACUUAUGUCUAAAACGUCAAAAUA
rnacentral:rRNA from 1 species